rnacentral:rRNA from 1 species
AACCGGAUUAGAUACCCGGGUAGUCCACGCCCUAAACGAUGUCAACUAGCUGUUGGGGCCUUCGGGCCUUGGUAGCGCAGCUAACGCGUGAAGUUGACCGCCUGGGGAGUACGGUCGCAAGAUUAAAACUCAAAGGAAUUGACGGGGACCCGCACAAGCGGUGGAUGAUGUGGAUUAAUUCGAUGCAACGCGAAAAACCUUACCUACCCUUGACAUGUCUGGAAUGCCGAAGAGAUUUGGCAGUGCUCGCAGGAGAACCGGAACACAGGUGCUGCAUGGCUGUCGUCAGCUCGUGUCGUGAGAUGUUGGGUUAAGUCCCGCAACGAGCGCAACCCUUGUCAUUAGUUGCUACGAAAGGGCACUCUAAUGAGACUGCCGGUGACAAACCGGAGGAAGGUGGGGAUGACGUCAAGUCCUCAUGGCCCUUAUGGGUAGGGCUUCACACGUCAUACAAUGGUCGGGACAGAGGGUCGUCAACCCGCGAGGGGGAGCCAAUCCCAGAAACCCGAUCGUAGUCCGGAUCGCAGUCUGCAACUCGACUGCGUGAAGUCGGAAUCGCUAGUAAUCGUAGAUCAGAAUGCUACGGUGAAUACGUUCCCGGGCCUUGUACACACCACCCGUCACACCAUGGGAGUGGGUUGCAAAAGAAGUAGUAGCUUAACCUUCGGGAGGGCGCUUACCACUUUGUGAUUCAUGACUGGGGUGAAGUCGUAACAAGGUAGCC